CUCUCGAUUCCUGCACUUUAUCGCAGCGGGUGUCGGUUUUGUUUGUUUAUGUGCUGGAAUAGAUGCUGUUUAGUGAUAUUAAAAACACUGUCACUGAUCUGUCAUCUGCAGGAUCUGUAUUUUAAACGGUCUGCACAUGUUGUCACAACAAGCGUCAUUCUGUCCCUCAUCGGAAGCGCUCAGACUGAACGUGAAGCCGCUUCCGCCGCCUAGUGGAGCGGAACAACAACUGCACUUCAGUUUCACUUACGAACAGAAUCAAAGUCACCUGCUCCCUCGUGUGCUCAACAAGUUAUCAGCUUUCAUAAGACGACAAGGUGGCCAGUCUUAGAUUUCUCAUGUAUUUUACAACAAAUCUAAUGCUUUGUUACAGCCAGCAGAGAAACAUGGAUCUGUCAGUUUAUCUAAAUGCAUCUGAUCAGCUCUCAGUCGAUGAGGUGAAACUGAUUAAAUGUUGUGUUGAACUCAAAAGCACACACACAAACUACAGAACAAAAGGCUUUCCAAGAUUCUUGUAUUCGGACUCAAGCAGCAUUUAUGUUAAUGGUUGACUGGUUUUGGGGAAUUGGGAUGGAUUCUCCAGCUCCCUCUUGAGGAGCAUCUGAAUAGUGAGCACUUCCCAAUCCACAUCCAGCUCCGAGUCUCUAUCUGAAGCUCUGGAUCGAGGAGGUGGAUGGAGGAGGAGGAGCUGAUGUGUGGAAGAACAGGUGUAAAGUGAGUCUGACUGAUCUUCACAGAACAAACGCUGGUCAGAGUGACUGAACACUCGUGCAUUUAUAGCAAACACUGACAGGUUAUUUGAUAAACAGGACAGAUUUGGACAAAUGCUGAUUAAACCCUGUAUCAAAAUGAUAGCUGACAAACUAAUGACUAAUAUUAUGACUAAACAUCAAAAUGUUUAGUCAGACACGCGCAUGUAAUGAGAUCAGUAUGUCAGCACUCAGCACCACCUUGUGGACAACACGUGUAUCUGCAAUUAUCUGUAAAACUGCAGUAUGAACAGAGCUGUCUAAUCCUGCUCCUGCUGAGCCACUUUCCUGAGUUUAGCUCCAAACUGACUGAAAACACCUGAAGCAGCAAAUCAAGGUCUUGAGGAUCACUAGAAACUUCCAGACACGUUUGAUGGACCC
ensembl:lncRNA